GAUAUUUCCGUUGAACCGUUUGGAGUUUAAGAUGAAAAUAUUAACGAAUGUAUCUAAAGUUCACUUUGCCUUGACUUUACGCAUCCAUCACAUAGAGAUCACGCAGCAGGCACCCACUAUGGGUUUCAUCAUCGCUCACUUCCCUUGGAUCAACUAGAAAUCAACUCAGAUGAGAGUGCUGAGUCUCAGAGGAUGGACGUCUCACCCCUUGCCAUACAGAUAAGUAGAAAGGGUGGUAUUGAAAAUUAAUGGCCAGACUCUAAGUCCCAGGCACUAUACUUGAUGGUCUCCCAACCCUCAAAAUGUUGUGGGUUCUUUUUUGUUUUUGAGACGGAGUCUCAUUCUGUUGCCCAGGCUGGAGUGCAGUGGAGCGAUCUCGGCUCACUGCAACCUCCGCAUCCCAGGUUCAAGCUAUUCUCUUGCCUCAGCCUGCCGAGUAGCUGAGAUUGCAGGCGCCCGCCACUACGCCUGGCUUAUUUUUUUCUCUUUUUAGGAGAGACGGGGUUUCACCUUGUUGGCUAGGCUGGUCUCGAACACCUGACCUUGUGAUUCACCUGCCUCAGCCUCCCAAAGUGCUGGGAUUACAGGCGUGAGCCACCAGGCCCAGCUUCAAAAGUUUUCAACAGAGCUCAGAGGUCUUAACCACAGGCACAUCCGAGGAGCAUUUUUGAAAUGGUUUCCAGCUUCCUCAAUAGGAAUGGAAGCCAAACCCUGAAUUGAUGGCUCCUUGGAGGAAGUCGAGAGCUGUAAGGAAAGCCAGGAACAGGGGCAAGGGAGAGAUGCAUCCCGAAUGAUCCUGUGCCAAUUCUUUCUGGAAUCUUUGAUGUGAUCUCCGCUGCCCUUUCCAUACUUGACACAGUGAUUGUGGCACCCACUGGUCUAGCUGUGGUCUACAAGGAACCCCCAAAGGGAAGGGCACAGUGAGCAGGGGCAUUGGCCUGAGUGACAAGGAUUGGAGGGGGCAGGUUGGAUGCAGGGAGAGGACUGGCCAAAUGCCAUGUGUCUGGCUUAGACUACCUUGUUCAAAUUGGGCUUCACCAUUUUUGACUUCGUGAUCUGGUACAAGUUAUAUGAAAAUGUGUUGCUCCUUUUCUAGUCUGUAAAAUCAUAAGGAAAUGUGCACUAAUAACUGGGAGACUAUGCAGAUGAAAUGAAACAAGCAGCAUAGACCACAGAGCUCAGAGCCUGGCCUUUAGGAAGCCCUCAGUAAGGGUUCAUGAUGCCAUGGUGUCUGUCAUCAUCCUCUUUAUCGUCAUCAUCACCUUCAUCAUCUUUUUGUUGUUCUGAGGGCAUACUUUAGAGGGACUCAUUCCCUGCUCUCAUGGGUGAGAUGUCUAUGAAAAGGACAACCAGUGGGGGAGGGAAGCAAAAUUUUGAAGAAGAUUCCUGGGAGAGAUCCCCCACCACAACCGAGAACAGAAACUCCACAGUCUGCUGAGCUGACAGUUUGCACAUUGGUCUCCUCCCAUCUGCCCACGGCACUCUCCCAUUUGUCCUGAAGAUGAGGAAACAAACAAGGCUCCCGACCGUCCCUCAGCACUCACUGAACGGCCCUUCCCCUCUGCUGGGCCAUGACCACGGAGAACAGGUCCACUGUCCUCCCUGAGUAGUGCACAUGGGAGGCUCAGACUCCGUCCUCAAGGCUGGUAAGAAGACAGGGUGAGACAUGAGGCUCCUGAUACAGGUGAUGGGUGUGGAGCCCACAGGACUGCAACCUCACACUGCAGGGCUGGAGGCACAGACUGAGUAUUUCCUAUUCUAUGGCCUGGUGGGCUCAAGGCACAGAGCUCCUCAUUAGCCAGAGUCACCCAUAUUCCCCAUGCUCUAAGGAUUUCCUCAUCAUCAUGCAAGAAGAAGAAUAGAAAAAAGGAAGAGGAAGAAACAAAAGCAACUUCUCUCUUAGAUUUAAUUCUGACCUACCAGGAAGAACUGGAUUGUUGAAGCAGAAGUACUGGAGUCUCUGGAGCUAAAACCAAAGAUAAGAACAUUAAGAUUAUCUUGCUGGAGAGAGAGGCCAUGCGGAAGAACCCUGGAAAAUGAGACAGCUCACAGAGCAAGAGGCCAUGUGGAGAAGGCCUAGAAGUAAAAUGCCUCAUGGAACAAGAGGCCACAUGCAGAAGGCCUGGAGGAUGAGAUGCCCUGUGAAGUGAGAGGCCACGUGGAGAAGGCCUAGAGGAGGAGACACCUUAUGGAGCAAGAGGCCAAAUGGAGAAGCCCCAGAGGGUUAGACACCUCGUGGAGCAAGAGGUCACACGCAGAAGUCCUGGAAGCGAGAUGCCUCAUGAAGCGAGAUGCCUCGUGGAGCGAGAGGCCAUGUGGAAGAACCCUGGAACUCAGCGGCUGAUAACACAAAGAUCCCAGGGUGUGAGAGAGGCCUUCAUGAACUUCCCGUCCAGCCCAGCUAGAGCCAGAUGGAGCCAUAUGUGUGACCGCAAGUGACAUCAACAAAAGAACGACCCAGUCACCCUGAGAAUUGUUAGAAAUGCAAAGCACUAAGUUUUGGGGUAGUUCGUUACAUAGCAAUAGCUAACUGAUACAGAUGGUUUGAAUUACUUGACUUUAAAGUUCCUUCUUACCCUGAAAGUUUAUGGCUUAGUAAAGUGAAUUAAGCACAUUUGACUGAAACAGAGAGAUGGAAAAGAUCAGAAGGUAAGGGCAGGGCAAGGUGAGGAGGGCUUUCCGUGCCACGAUAAGGAAUUUGAGCUUUAACUGGUAGGUUCUGAAGCUGUCCCAGGAGGAAGUGACAAGAGAAGAUAGUUUUUUAGGAAGACCCACAUUGCAGCAGCAUGUCGAUAAGACACGUGGGCACACAGAGCAGAUGUGAGAGAGAAGGAGGCAUGGAGACCUGAUUGCUGAGGCAAAAAGAUGCAGCUGACAAUUAUGGAGCAACAAGCUACUGAAUACAGAAUUAAACAUUCAGUCUUCAAGACACAGAUGUAAGCUGCUUUCUCUGUAUCAGCCUUCUCUGUAUCAACUCUUCAUUUUUUCCCACUAUGAUGUUUUUACUUUCAAAAAUCCAUGGGAGAAUACAUGGUAUGUCGUUAAAAGCCUGGGAUUUGAAAUAAGAAAGCCUUAGCUUUAAACCCCUUCUCUCACCUUCUAGCUGUGUAACUCUGGGCAAGUUACUGAACCUUGCUGUAUCGCAGCUUCUUCAUUUGUAAAAUGGAUAUAAUGAUAUUUGUCUCACAGGAGUAAUGCAAAGAUAAAAACGGAUUAUGUCUGAUGCAUUUACUUUUACUAAAUGGCUAAAUGCUCAAGCAACACAAAUACAUGAUUAUUUCUCUUUCACGUAACAGUCCAGGUUGGGAGUGUCAGGUUGAGGGGUGGAUCUUUUUCACAUCUUCUUGAAAGAAUUCAUGGUAAAAGCUGUCUUCAGUUUAUGCCUUCCAAGGUUCUUUUGGCCAUCGCCAUUCCAGAAAGAAGAGGAGAAGAGAGCAUGAAGGAGCCCGCCUAACAUGUUUUAUGGGGCAUCUCAGAAAUGGCACUCGCUUCUACUUGCAUUCCAUUGGCAAGAACACACGGCGCACCGGCUGCCCACGGGGAUAGGGAAUCCCAGCUAGAAUUCCAUCCAAUAGAAGACAGAGGGGAGAGAAGAGCAGGGUAUUGAUAUUUUAGAUCUGCAGUUGAUUGACUCCACAAAUGUGAAACUGGUGGAAACAGGGCCAGCUGUUUUCGACAGCUAUCCUCUCUUUGAGGAAAAAUGGCUUGAUCUUUUGUCCAAGGAAGUUAGAAAACUGUAUCCACGCAAUUCAUCCAUUUAUUCCUCAAGCAUGUGUUGAGCGUUUGGCGAUGCUUCACGAUGUUGGACCCUGGACAUUCACAGAAGAUGAACACAUCUCACAAAAGUGACCUCAGACAGGCUGCUCCAAGUCUCCCUGGACCACCUGCGUAGUUCAGCCAUAUUCUACAGUGAGCACUUAGGACAUGCAGGGGCUAGACAGGCAUCAAGGCUGGCUGAUUCCACAGAGCAAGAAUGUCAACAAGGAUCCAGCUUAUUUUUGCCUCUUCACCCCACCAUCUUUUAUGUCAGCCUCGUCCUCAGGGAAGUAGGUUGCAACAGUUCCAGCUGGACACAACAAUACCCACAGGAAGACGAAAGAGACUCUUAUUGCUGCUGUAUCAUGGGAACCUUGUCCCCCGAUGCCCAUCAGGGUCAACUAUUUACAUGGGAAGGAAAAACAUACCCCGCAACUACAACCUGAUGUCAGUACCAAGAGCAGUAUGCAAACGACUAUUACGGGUGCUCAGAAGCAUCACAAUGGAAGGGAAGUUGCAGCUGCCUAUACCCACACCCACAUCUUGUCUACCUGCCUGCUGCAUCACAGCCUGGCUGCAUUACUGGGCUCACUUCAGCUCCAAGAAAGCUUCCAGAAAUCAUGGCAGGCACACCUGCAGUGAGCAGAUCUGUGUCUACUUGUCCUUUAAGUGGACACCACUUUUCUGUUCAGAGCACAGAUCAAUGUGUCAGACAGAGCUCUUGGAUGACAAUAUUGUCCUGGCAGGGAUCCAGAGCGGCUGGGGAUAGAGAAUAUUAAAUGGGUCUGGUGCAGAACAGUUGAGGUGUGACUGGAUGUGACAGAGGACAGCACCUCUUUGACAAUGACAUUAUGUGAGUUUGGGUGGGCUCUCAGCUCAGGUUUCAGAUGGCCAGGCAUCUGUUGCUGGCCGCCAUUCCGUUGACAUUUUACAUUUUGUGACCAUAAAUUAACUUUGGAAGAAGUUGAUAGACAAGUAGGUCAUUAUUUGGGUGUUCCUGUGUUUCUCAUAACAUUUUAAAUUCAGUCAGGGCAGAAAAUAUAUAUGUCUUUCCUUUAUACCAUUACCCUAAUCCCUGGCACAUGGUGGGUUUCCUCUUGACUUUAGUGGAACAUGCCUGGACCUUAACAAUCUCAACACCCCACCUUCCCCACAACCCUGUCUUCUUCCCCAUCUCUCCAGCUGGCUUCCUGCCUUGUUUUCUCCUCACAUAGAUUUAACAGAUGCUCUGAGCCCCGCAGUGCACUUCAGUUCUAUUCUCUGCACUCGCCAUGGCACUUGGCACCAUUAACUGCAGCUCUCUCUGCCUUGACUUCUGCACCCCACUCUCCCCUGUGUGUUUUUUCUUUGGGGGUUUCUUAUCAGGCGCCUCUUCUUUAAAUGCUUGUUUUCCUUUGAGCCCUGUCCAGAGCUCUAGGUUCCAUUUUCCACUUUCUACGUUCUAUCUGGUCCUUCAUUCAAAUUUACAGCUCACAUCUCUGCUUUUGCCUCUAGCCCAGAUCUCUCUCUCUCUCUCUCUCUCCCUCUCUCUCUCUCUGUCUUUCAAACUUUACACAACUUGAGACAUCUCCACUCACAUAUCCUGCAGGUACACCGAACUCAACAUGGUCAAAACAGGAGACAGUCUCUCACCCCAAAAUGGAAUUUCUCUCUUUUUAAAGGAAACCAGCAUUCAUAAGCCAGAAGCCAAUCUGGAUUUUGUCUGGAAACUCAAGUAUAAGACCUAGCACCACUUGCCAAGGACCUCUGCUUUGCUUUGGUAGGCCAAGGGUCUGGCUCUGUUACCCAGGCUGGAUUGCAGUGGUGCAAUCUCGGCUCCUGUAACCUUCACCUCCUGUAACCUUCACCUCCUGGGCUCAACCCAUCCUCUGGCCUCAGCCUCUUGAGGAACUGGGACUUACAGGUGUGCGCCACCACACACAGCAAUUUUUUUUUUUUGUAUUUUUGGUAGAGAUGGAGUUUCAUCAUGUUGGUCAGGCUGGUCUCUAACUCCUGGGCUCAAGUGAUCUGCCCAUCUCAGCCUCCCAAAGUGCUGGGAUUAUAGGCGUGAGCCACCGCACCGAGCCCUACUUUGUAUUUUGAAUAGAAGCAACAGCAGUGAUGGGAUUCGUACUCCAAACCUCAGCAUCACACAACAUUCCCAUGCAGCAAAUCUGCACAUGUAUCCUCUGUAUCUAAAAUAAAAGUUGAAAUGUUUUUAAAAAGAA
rnacentral:sRNA from 1 species